CCUACGGGUGGCUGCAGUGAGGAAUAUUGGUCAAUGGGCGGAAGCCUGAACCAGCCAAGUAGCGUGCAGGAUGACGGCCCUACGGGUUGUAAACUGCUUUUAUACGGGAAUAACGCGCCUUACGUGUAGGGCUUUGCAUGUACCGUAUGAAUAAGGACCGGCUAAUUCCGUGCCAGCAGCCGCGGUAAUACGGAGGGUCCGGGCGUUAUCCGGAUUUAUUGGGUUUAAAGGGAGCGUCGGCCGCAUGUCAAGCGUGCUGUGAAAUGUUCGGGCUCAACCCGGGCCUUGCAUCGGUAACUGGCGUGCUUGAGUGCGGGGGAGGCAGGCGGAAUUCGUGGUGUAGCGGUGAAAUGCUUAGAUAUGACGAAGAACCCCGAUUGCGAAGGCAGCUUGCUGGAGCGGAACUGACGCUGAUGCUCGAAAGCGCGGGUAUCGAACAGGAUUAGAUACCCUAGUAGUC
rnacentral:rRNA from 1 species